UGUCCUUCUCAGCUUUUUGGUGAUAUAUCUUUUAUCAGCUUGAUAUUUGAUAAGUUCCCUAUUUGGGGCCAUCAGUAUUAAACUGAUUUUUUGAAUGAGGCAAGGACUUCCAAGCUUGCCUCACCUUCAAUAAAGGUUGGCCUGGUGUUGCGGUACUUCCAGGUUUCAGCCCCAACAAA
rnacentral:snRNA from 1 species